GAUGCCAGCUAGCGAUCCGCCAAAGUUCCUCCGAUGACUUGGUGGGCAGCUUCCGGGAAACCAAAGCAUUUGGGUUCCGGGGGAAGUAUGGUUGCAAAGCUGAAACUUAAAGGAAUUGACGGAAGGGCACCACCAGGAGUGGAGCCUGCGGCUUAAUUUGACUCAACACGGGAAACCUCACCAGGCCCGGACACCGGAAGGAUUGACAGAUUGAGAGCUCUUUCUUGAUUCGGUGGGUGGUGGUGCAUGGCCGUUCUUAGUUGGUGGAGCGAUUUGUCUGGUUAAUUCCGAUAACGAACGAGACUCUAGCCUACUAAAUAGACGUACUUUAUUACCGGCAUCUCAAGGCCCAUCGGCUGUAUUGUUACUGAAUGUUAUUUGUAUAUUUUGUUGAUAUAUAUUUAUAAUAUGUAUGAUUGAUAAUAUAUAUUUUUUUAUAAUUCAUAUUUUUUUUUCAAAAUUAAAAUUGGUUAUUUUUUAUAUAUGUAAUUAUUUAAUCUGCAUUAAUGAUAUACUUAAAACAUGAUACAUUAACUAAAGUGACAACAGUUUUUU
rnacentral:rRNA from 1 species